AAAUAACUAUUAUUGCACCAUACCCAUAUUCAAAACCAGAAAUAAUCCUUAAAAAAAAUUUUGAUUGCUUCAUAAUUUGCAAAAACAAAAAAAUAUUUGUAAAACAAAACAAACCAGAUAAAAUAACCCAACUAACAAUAUGUAUAUAUAGAGAGAGCAACAAAAAAUACCCAGCAGAUUUUAUAUACCCAUAUCAAAAAUUUUAUCAAAAACACAACCCUAGGCAGAUUAGAGAGCUAAAAGCAAGAUCAAAUCAAAAGAAAAUAAAGUAAAAAGCAUAAAAAAAUAGAGAGAGAAAGUUUACAUACCCAAACUUAAAACGCUCCAAAUGGGUUCCUUGAGAAGAAAAGAAAAUGUUUUUGGGCAUUUGAGUGAAGAAAAAGAAGAAAAAUGGAGGUUUUGUGGGGAAAAAUGGCUUAGAUCAGCCGAUUUGUGAAGAGGGAGAUAAAGAGAGCUUCGGAGAGAGAGAGAGCACUUCGGGGAGAGAGAGAGAGACGCGCGAGGAAGAUGAAGAAGACGAUGAGCUGUCGCGGGGGGUUUUUAAAGAACACGCAGUUUCGGCGACCGAACUAAGCUUCAGCAGCCGAAACUGGACAAGUUUAG
rnacentral:lncRNA from 1 species